CGGACAACCUAAUACAAAUUCAUCCUCUCGUUCCUCUAUCAGUUAAACUCAACAAAUAUAAAUAGGCGAACGUGCUGUCUAAGACAGUGGAAUAGUCGAGUAGUUAAAAAGUAGAAGAGUUGAAUUGUUGUGGGAGUUUCGAGCGGCAUACACUGUCUUUGUACUUGUACUUACAGUGAUUUUAAUAUAAUUGACUAUUACAAUUUUAUCAUUCGUCUCUUUGUUAAACAAACCAACACGUUUAAACACUUAACGCUCCAAGAGUGCCUCUCGAGCACCACCGAUGUGCGGCGCUCUACUCCAAAUGUAUUUUUGGGUCGUUACCAAUAAUUGUUUACAAAUAAAGAAUAAUUCUCCUCAGUGAGUUACAAGCGAUCAGUAAAGACAGUCAGAUGCGAACCUGUUUUAUCGCGAACCCAUCUAUUUGAAUUAUGUCGAGAGGAAAAAUGAAUUAUCUUUGUGAGGAAAAUAUAGAUAGUGACGAUGACAAUUUUGAUUUUCGUAUUUAUAAUGAUGUAGCUGUUGACUUGGAUAGCAGUUAUAGUGAGAGCAGUGAUAGUGAUAUUCUUGUUGCUGGAAGAAGACGAAAAAUAAGAAAACUUUCAUCGAGUGAGCAAAGUGCAGAUGAUGGAGAACCAUAGGAGGAAAAUCUAACCAAGAGUAUUUGCAACGAGAUCACGGUGGAUGCUAAGGACGA
rnacentral:lncRNA from 1 species